GGGAAUUUUCACCUGACUCUGCCGCUCUCCUCGGCUUUACAGAGCUUUAUAACGAGUUUUCUCUUAAUUAAUCGGCGGUGUUAUAUCCCGCAGGUCGUUUAGAAACACUUACCGUUGUUCUGAGGGUGUCUCCACAACCCCCAAGGACUCCUCUAACCACCUACAUGUCAGAAAUAUUCCGUCAGCUGAACGGUUUUUGGCCCGUUUCCCAAGUUCCGCUCGUGUUCCCUAAUCGAAACAAAGAUGGCAGCCCGCCGGUGUUACACAAUUUGUGACCCUUGUGUAAUUACAAUACAUUUUUGUCGACAGCUAGCUAUUAAAACGAAAAAUGUGAUAAAGUGUUAUUUAAAAUUUAAAAAAAAAGGGCAAACAAACAAACCAAAAACUUUACAGUGACAAUAUGGCUGAAAUUCCCAAUCAGGUCACAGAAUAAGAUGUGACACCGGCUACCUGGAGAGGAAACAACGUGGGAAACAGCUGGACCAGAGGGAGGAAGAGGAAACAAUCAAAUCCUCGUCACGGAUGUCACGGUUCAUGUAAUAUCAAGACCCUGGAGUACCACAGUUGCACUGAUGGCAGCAGGGCAUCUUCUGACAGCGCUGUGAUGUUUCUUGUCCUCAGCAUCCCAGCAGUGACAUUGUCGGACCAUCAGCACAGCUUACAUGCAGAUAAAGGGCCAAGCCAACAGAGGGAGGUGUUGGUCAGUAUUAGAACCACCUGCAGAAAAGCAAAUACUGGGGUCUUGUUCUUCUAGAGCCC